GGGUUGUGAGGUUAAGCGACUAAGCGUACACGGUGGAUGCCCUGGCAGUCAGAGGCGAUGAAGGACGUGCUAAUCUGCGAUAAGCGUCGGUAAGGUGAUAUGAACCGUUAUAACCGGCGAUUUCCGAAUGGGGAAACCCAGUGUGAUUCGACACACUAUCAUUAACUGAAUCCAUAGGUUAAUGAGGCGAACCGGGGGAACUGAAACAUCUAAGUACCCCGAGGAAAAGAAAUCAACCGAGAUUCCCCCAGUAGCGGCGAGCGAACGGGGAGCAGCCCAGAGCCUGAAUCAGUGUGUGUGUUAGUGGAAGCGUCUGGAAAGGCGCGCGAUACAGGGUGACAGCCCCGUACACAAAAAUGCACAUACUGUGAGCUCGAUGAGUAGGGCGGGACACGUGGUAUCCUGUCUGAAUAUGGGGGG
rnacentral:rRNA from 1 species